GGGGUAACCUGAAGAAACCCAAAAGANCGAAUGGGGAGAUUCAUCGUCGACGAAGCUGGCUCCCGUUGGUGUGCGAUUCCUCCGAUGGGACUCUGUUCCAAAACGUGGGUACACCCCUUCGGCGAAUAACCGGCGAUGUAGACGUGCACUUCUCCCUUUGUAGAACGUCGCGACCCGUUGUGUGUCGGUCUACGGUCUGGGCUAUUGCCUGUCGUGGCACUUCCUUAUGCUCACGGCAGAGGCUCGGUCGCCUGGCCGGCUGCACGACGGUACUCUGACGGUAUCGGGCCGCAACCAAUCCAUUCUCGAAUGUAUUUGCGUCAGGCCCGCCGCAAGCUCGGACAGCACCCGGAGUGUGUGGACAUAGUGCCCUCCCCGGGUCUGGCCAGCUGUUUGCAGGCGGUGUCCUCGGACUGGCCAAGCUUUGAAUUACCGGUCAGCGACGCUACUGCUUUGGGUCCUCUCAGGACCCGUCUUGAAACACGGACCAAGGAGUCUAACAUGUGCGCGAGUCAUUGGGACAUUUAAACCUAAAGGCGAAAUGAAAGUGAAAGUCGUCGUAAGCGUCGACCAAGGGAGGAUGGGCCGCUUACGUCGCGGCCUCGCACUCCCGGGGCGUCUCGUUCUCGUUGAGAAGAGGCGCACCCAGAGCGUACACGUU
rnacentral:rRNA from 1 species